GAAACUGUGGGUAAUACCCGAUAACGUCUGCGGACCAAAGGUGUGAUUCCGCCUGAGGAGCGGCUUACGUGAUAUUAGCUUGAUGGUGGGGUAAUGGCCUACCAUGGCGACGAUGUCCAGGGGGUGUGAGAGCAUGGCCCCCACGACCGGAACUGAGACACUGUCCGGACACCUACGGGUGGCUGCAGUCGAGAAUCUUCCGCAAUGGGCGAAAGCCUGACGGAGCGACGCCGCGUGCGGGAUGAAGGCCCUUGGGUUGUAAACCGCUGUCAGAGGGGAUGAAAUCAUGGUAGGCAAUCCUUCCAUGUAGACAGAGCCUCAAAGGAAGCACGGGCUAAGUACGUGCCAGCAGCCGCGGUAACACGUACUGUGCGAACGUUAUUCGGAAUCACUGGGCUUAAAGGGUGCGUAGGCGGUUUAUCAAGUCAGAUGUGAAAUGCCUGAGCUCAACUGAGGCACUGCGUUUGAAACUGAUAGACUUGAGUAUUCCAGGGGUAUGCGGAACUGCCAGUGGAGCGGUGAAAUGCGUUGAUAUUGGCAGGAACACCAGUGGCGAAGGCGGCAUAC
rnacentral:rRNA from 1 species